GUAAUUUCUGUUUCAUAAUUAGGGCUUUUUGUUUGAUCUAAUCGGUUACUGAAUUAUGGUUUUGUUUGUAAGGAGAAUCCGAUUGCAAGCUCACCGGCGAAGGAAGCAUACAGGAAUCGGCUGGCGGACAGCCUCAACAUGGGAGUUAUGGAUUGGUUUGAUCCAAUUGCUGAUUCGACUACUAGCCAUCUCGAUCUGAUUCCCCACAUGGUUUAGGGGAGAAGUUUAAAACAACAGGACUAUGGAAGGAUAUACGGUGCUACAUUGACAGUCAACUCUACGGUUUGUAGGUUGAAGUUUGCUUAACACGCUUCAACCGUCGAACUUGGUGCGGCUCAAUUGAAUAAGGAAUGAAGUAGGUAAUGUACCUAGAAUCUUGGCAGAAGGAAGCGACUGGAGUUUGUUUUUUAAGGUAGUAAUUUCAAUCUAUCUUUUCAAGUUGCUUGUGGUGAACAACUUUCCCACAUCAAUGGGAGUAGGUAUGAUUUUUGCUCUUUUUCUCAUUGCUUCAUGCUAGGUGCUUGGCCGGUUAGGCGGGCUGUGUAACGGGCCAAAACUACGGGCAGGUCGA